GAAAUCUAAGAUAUGCUUGCUUUGUUGGAUGCACGUUACUUGUCUAUGCAUUUAUGUUUGAGUUGGUAAUGGAGACUAAGGAUAAAUAGGAAUGGGAUGGGAUUUGAUAAAUGGAUAAGAUGACAGCCUCACUAGAUAUCCUGGGAGAUGGUGGAUGGACUGGGUUCAUAGAGAACUCUACCGUGAACGUUGUCUCAUACUGGACGGGGAAUGAAGAUUUAGUCAUUUGGCGCCCAUACCGAACGGGGUAUGGGGACGACCCGCUUCACCCUCAUACCGAACGGGGUAUUGAGGUUUAUUAU
rnacentral:lncRNA from 1 species